rnacentral:rRNA from 1 species
GAUUAAGUUAUUAAGGGCGCACGGUGGAUGCCUUGGCACUAGAAGCCAAUGAAGGACGUUACUAACGACGAUAUGCUUUGGGGAGCUGUAAGUAAGCUUUGAUCCAGAGAUUUCCGAAUGGGGAAACCCAGCAUGAGUUAUGUCAUGUUAUCGAUAUGUGAAUACAUAGCAUAUCAGAAGGCACACCCGGAGAACUGAAACAUCUUAGUACCCGGAGGAAGAGAAAGAAAAUUCGAUUCCCUUAGUAGCGGCGAGCGAAACGGGAAGAGCCCAAACCAACAAGCUUGCUUGUUGGGGUUGUAGGACACUCUAUACGGAGUUACAAAGGACGACAUUAGACGAAUCAUCUGGAAAGAUGAAUCAAAGAAGGUAAUAAUCCUGUAGUCGAAAAUGUUGUCUCUCUUGAGUGGAUCCUGAGUACGACGGAGCACGUGAAAUUCCGUCGGAAUCUGGGAGGACCAUCUCCUAAGGCUAAAUACUCUCUAGUGACCGAUAGUGAACCAGUACCGUGAGGGAAAGGUGAAAAGCACCCCGGAAGGGGAGUGAAAUAGAACCUGAAACCGUGUGCUUACAAGUAGUCAGAGCCCGUUAAUGGGUGAUGGCGUGCCUUUUGUAGAAUGAACCGGCGAGUUACGAUUUGAUGCAAGGUUAAGCAGUAAAUGUGGAGCCGUAGCGAAAGCGAGUCUGAAUAGGGCGUUUAGUAUUUGGUCGUAGACCCGAAACCAGGUGAUCUACCCUUGGUCAGGUUGAAGUUCAGGUAACACUGAAUGGAGGACCGAACCGACUUACGUUGAAAAGUGAGCGGAUGAACUGAGGGUAGCGGAGAAAUUCCAAUCGAACCUGGAGAUAGCUGGUUCUCUCCGAAAUAGCUUUAGGGCUAGCCUCAAGUGAUGAUUAUUGGAGGUAGAGCACUGUUUGGACGAGGGGCCCCUCUCGGGUUACCGAAUUCAGACAAACUCCGAAUGCCAAUUAAUUUAACUUGGGAGUCAGAACAUGGGUGAUAAGGUCCGUGUUCGAAAGGGAAACAGCCCAGACCACCAGCUAAGGUCCCAAAAUAUAUGUUAAGUGGAAAAGGAUGUGGCGUUGCCCAGACAACUAGGAUGUUGGCUUAGAAGCAGCCAUCAUUUAAAGAGUGCGUAAUAGCUCACUAGUCGAGUGACACUGCGCCGAAAAUGUACCGGGGCUAAACAUAUUACCGAAGCUGUGGAUUGUCCUUUGGACAAUGGUAGGAGAGCGUUCUAAGGGCGUUGAAGCAUGAUCGUAAGGACAUGUGGAGCGCUUAGAAGUGAGAAUGCCGGUGUGAGUAGCGAAAGACGGGUGAGAAUCCCGUCCACCGAUUGACUAAGGUUUCCAGAGGAAGGCUCGUCCGCUCUGGGUUAGUCGGGUCCUAAGCUGAGGCCGACAGGCGUAGGCGAUGGAUAACAGGUUGAUAUUCCUGUACCACCUAUAAUCGUUUUAAUCGAUGGGGGGACGCAGUAGGAUAGGCGAAGCGUGCGAUUGGAUUGCACGUCUAAGCAGUAAGGCUGAGUAUUAGGCAAAUCCGGUACUCGUUAAGGCUGAGCUGUGAUGGGGAGAAGACAUUGUGUCUUCGAGUCGUUGAUUUCACACUGCCGAGAAAAGCCUCUAGAUAGAAAAUAGGUGCCCGUACCGCAAACCGACACAGGUAGUCAAGAUGAGAAUUCUAAGGUGAGCGAGCGAACUCUCGUUAAGGAACUCGGCAAAAUGACCCCGUAACUUCGGGAGAAGGGGUGCUCUUUAGGGUUAACGCCCAGAAGAGCCGCAGUGAAUAGGCCCAAGCGACUGUUUAUCAAAAACACAGGUCUCUGCUAAACCGUAAGGUGAUGUAUAGGGGCUGACGCCUGCCCGGUGCUGGAAGGUUAAGAGGAGUGGUUAGCUUCUGCGAAGCUACGAAUCGAAGCCCCAGUAAACGGCGGCCGUAACUAUAACGGUCCUAAGGUAGCGAAAUUCCUUGUCGGGUAAGUUCCGACCCGCACGAAAGGCGUAACGAUUUGGGCACUGUCUCAACGAGAGACUCGGUGAAAUCAUAGUACCUGUGAAGAUGCAGGUUACCCGCGACAGGACGGAAAGACCCCGUGGAGCUUUACUGUAGCCUGAUAUUGAAAUUCGGCACAGCUUGUACAGGAUAGGUAGGAGCCUUUGAAACGUGAGCGCUAGCUUACGUGGAGGCGCUGGUGGGAUACUACCCUAGCUGUGUUGGCUUUCUAACCCGCACCACUUAUCGUGGUGGGAGACAGUGUCAGGCGGGCAGUUUGACUGGGGCGGUCGCCUCCUAAAAGGUAACGGAGGCGCUCAAAGGUUCCCUCAGAAUGGUUGGAAAUCAUUCAUAGAGUGUAAAGGCAUAAGGGAGCUUGACUGCGAGACCUACAAGUCGAGCAGGGUCGAAAGACGGACUUAGUGAUCCGGUGGUUCCGCAUGGAAGGGCCAUCGCUCAACGGAUAAAAGCUACCCCGGGGAUAACAGGCUUAUCUCCCCCAAGAGUUCACAUCGACGGGGAGGUUUGGCACCUCGAUGUCGGCUCAUCGCAUCCUGGGGCUGUAGUCGGUCCCAAGGGUUGGGCUGUUCGCCCAUUAAAGCGGUACGCGAGCUGGGUUCAGAACGUCGUGAGACAGUUCGGUCCCUAUCCGUCGUGGGCGUAGGAAAUUUGAGAGGAGCUGUCCUUAGUACGAGAGGACCGGGAUGGACAUACCUCUGGUGUACCAGUUGUCGU